AGAGUUUGAUCAUGGCUCAGGAUGAACGCUAGCGGCAGGCCUAAUACAUGCAAGUCGAACGAGAUUGAGGAGCUUGCUCCUCAUGAAAGUGGCGCACGGGUGCGUAACGCGUAUGCAAUCUACCUUAAUCAGGGGGAUAGCCCGGAGAAAUCCGGAUUAAUACCGCAUAACAUUAUUGAAUGGCAUCAUUUAAUAAUCAAACAUUUAUGGGAUUAAGAUGAGCAUGCGUGACAUUAGUUAGUUGGUGAGGUAACGGCUCACCAAGACUACGAUGUCUAGGGGAUCUGAGAGGAUGACCCCCCACACUGGUACUGAGACACGGACCAGACUCCUACGGGAGGCAGCAGUAAGGAAUAUUGGUCAAUGGGCGCAAGCCUGAACCAGCCAUGCCGCGUGCAGGAAGACGGCCCUACGGGUUGUAAACUGCUUUUAUUCGGGAAUAAACCUCUUUACGUGUAAAGAGCUGAAUGUACCGAAGGAAUAAGGAUCGGCUAACUCCGUGCCAGCAGCCGCGGUAAUACGGAGGAUCCAAGCGUUAUCCGGAUUUAUUGGGUUUAAAGGGUGCGUAGGCGGCUUAUUAAGUCAGGGGUGAAAGACGGUGGCUCAACCAUCGCAGUGCCUUUGAUACUGAUGAGCUUGAAUACACUAGAGGUAGGCGGAAUGUGACAAGUAGCGGUGAAAUGCAUAGAUAUGUCACAGAACACCAAUUGCGAAGGCAGCUUACUAUGGUGUCAUUGACGCUGAGGCACGAAAGCGUGGGGAUCAAACAGGAUUAGAUACCCUGGUAGUCCACGCCCUAAACGAUGAAUACUCGAUGUUAGCGAUAUACAGUUAGCGUCUAAGCGAAAGCGUUAAGUAUUCCACCUGGGGAGUACGCCCGCAAGGGUGAAACUCAAGGAAUUUGACGG
rnacentral:rRNA from 1 species